GGUUGGAGGACAGGCCAAUCGCUCCCAGCUAUUUGAGCCAAUGGAGAAGUUCCUGAUGCCCACACCUGCUGGUCUCACCGCUAGGGCCUGGGCAUCACAGGCAGGGGGAAUGGGGAGGGGACGGUAGCGUCAGCCUACACCCACACGCAGUUUCCUGAUAAAAGGUCCUUUGGAAACUUUGAUUCUCUUCUCACCAAGUUGAACGGAGAUGUGUUCCCAUAGUAAGAGUGAGGCCCCUGCAUUUGCUGCCCUCGGUUUUCCCAACUAACACCAGGGCCUCCCCCCUGUACCCCAUUCAUAUGCCUCAGAAGCUGACAAUGACUGUUGGGCUUUUCCAAUGAAUACCAGAACACCAUUUCCUGCAGCCUGAAAAGAAGACAGUAUAAUUGUUUGGCAGCAAGAGGCCAAGCAGGAAACUAGAGAUAUGGUGACGGUAGUGGUCCCAGGGAGGAGCUUUAACCUGAGCACCACCCACAGAAGGCAGACCACCCUCCCAGCCGCAGUGCAAAUGAAUGUUGGCCCCCACCCAGGUCCCCAAGUG
rnacentral:lncRNA from 1 species